rfam:Xenopus tropicalis strain Nigerian Chr01_contig_4292, whole genome shotgun sequence.
AGCUUUGCACAGUGACAGUAUUAUAGCCAAUGAGGUCCAACCAAGGUGUGAUUAUUGCUAAUUGU